rnacentral:rRNA from 1 species
CUGUUGCCUCGGCGGGAUCUCUGCCCCGGGUGCGUCGCAGCCCCGGACCAAGGCGCCCGCCGGAGGACCAACCUAAAACUCUUAUUGUAUACCCCUCGCGGGUUUUUUAUAAUCUGAGCCUUCUCGGCGCCUCUCGUAGGCGUUUCGAAAAUGAAUCAAAACUUUCAACAACGGAUCUCUUGGUUCUGGCAUCGAUGAAGAACGCAGCGAAAUGCGAUAAGUAAUGUGAAUUGCAGAAUUCAGUGAAUCAUCGAAUCUUUGAACGCACAUUGCGCCCGCCAGUAUUCUGGCGGGCAUGCCUGUCCGAGCGUCAUUUCAACCCUCGAACCCCUCCGGGGGGUCGGCGUUGGGGAUCGGCCUCCUCUCACGGGGGCCGUCUCCGAAAUACAGUGGCGGUCUCGCCGCAGCCUCUCCUGCGCAGUAGUUUGCACACUCGCAUCGGGAGCGCGGCGCGUCCACAGCCGUUAAACACCCCAAACUUCUGAAAUGUUGACCUCGGAUCAGGUAGGAAUACCCGCUGAACUUAAGCAUAUCAAU